UUAGAAAGUAGUAUGAACGGUUAAAUUGUUUAUAUGAGUUUGUUUUAUUAGAUAGUAAGAUUAAGAUAAAGUAAUAAUUCUUUAAUUUACUAUGGGACAAUAAGACCCUAAAAGCUUUAUAAUUAUAUAUUUAUUGGUGGUAUAAAAAAAUUUAAUUAACUGGGGUAGUUAUUUUAUUUGAAUUAAAAAUAAUUUAGAUGAUCCUUUAAAUAAAGAUUAUUGGAUGAGUUACUUUAGGGAUAACAGUAUAAUAAAUUUAGAGAGAUCUUAUCGAUAAAAAUGUUUGUAACCUCGAUGUUGAAUUAGGAGCUCUGUAUAAGGCAUAAUAUAUAUAAGAAAGUUUGUUCAACUUUUAAAGUCCUACAUGAUCUGAGUUCAAACCGG
rnacentral:rRNA from 1 species